CAAACCCUUCACCACCUGCCCUUUAUUUGACCUUGAAGGUUAAUUUGUGUACGUGAAGAAUACAAAGAUGAGUCGGAGAAACGGUCCCAAGCCUGAUUUGAAGCUGAACCUAUCACCACCAAGAGUGGAAUCGCCGAGCCGAUCAGCUACGGUGUCACCGACAUCUCCUCCUAGCUCAUGCGUGUCAUCAGAGAUGGACGUUGGCACAAACAGUGGCGAGACGACAAAAUCCAUGGUUCUGGUGGGUUGUCCAAGGUGUCUUAUGUAUGUUAUGCUUUCCGAGGAGGAUCCUAAAUGCCCCAAAUGCAAGAGCACCGUUUUGCUUGAUUUCCUCGAUGACACUGCCACCACCGGCACCACCAACACA